rnacentral:lncRNA from 1 species
CACACCCACACCCGCAUGCCCACACAUCCAUACAGUCCACACCAUCACACACACACACCCACACACAUCCAUACAGUCCAUACCAUCACACACACCCGCACACAUCCAUACAGUCCACACCAUCACACACACACCCGCACACAUCCAUACAGUCCACACCGUCUCACACACACACCCGCACACAUCCAUACAGUCCACACCGUCUCACACACACACCUGCACACAUCCAUACAGUCCACACCAUAACACACACAUACAGUCCACACCGUCAUACACACACACACACAUCUGUACAGUCCACACCUUCACACAUCCAUACAGUCCACACCGUCAUACACACACACAUCUAUACAGUCCACACUGUCACACAUCCGUACAGUCCACACCGUCAUACAAACACACACACAUCUAUACAGUCCACACCGUCACACACACACAUCUAUACAGUCCACACCAUCACACACACAUCUAUACAGUCCACACCGUCACAUAUCUGUACAGUCCACACCGUCACACACACACGCCCACACCCGCAUGCCACACAUCCAUACAGUCCACAUUCACGUAUGCCCAUAUGCAUCCAUUCACACGUGUGUACACAUGCUCACACACACACAUUCAUAGACUCCACACAUGCACACGUGCACACACACGCACAUGCUCGCACACAUGCACAGAUACACUCACGUCCACACACGCUCAAACAUGCGUGCACACCCGGAGGUGCCCAGAGGGGCAGGGUGGGGAGGACCCCUGCAGCUGCCACACUCCCUG